AUUGAACGCUGGCGGCAUGCCUUACACAUGCAAGUCGAACGGCAGCACGGGAGCAAUCCUGGUGGCGAGUGGCGAACGGGUGAGUAAUAUAUCGGAACGUGCCCAGUCGUGGGGGAUAACGUAGCGAAAGCUACGCUAAUACCGCAUACGAUCUAUGGAUGAAAGCGGGGGAUCGCAAGACCUCGCGCGAUUGGAGCGGCCGAUAUCAGAUUAGGUAGUUGGUGAGGUAAAAGGCUCACCAAAGCCGACGAUCUGUAGCUGGUCUGAGAGGACGACCAGCCACACUGGGACUGAGACACGGCCCAGACUCCUACGGGAGGCAGCAGUGGGGAAUUUUUGGGACAAUGGGCGCAAGCCUGAUCCAGCAAUGCCGCGUGCAGGAUGAAGGCCUUCGGUUGGUUAAACGUUAGACGUUUUUGUUUAC
rnacentral:rRNA from 1 species